UACGAAGGGGGCUAGCGUUGCUCGGAAUCACUGGGCGUAAAGCGCACGUAGGCGGAUCGUUAAGUCGGGGGUGAAAUCCUGGAGCUCAACUCCAGAACUGCCUUCGAUACUGGCGAUCUUGGAGUCCGGGAGAGGUGAGUGGAACUCCGAGUGUAGAGGUGAAAUUCGUAGAUAUUGGGAAGAACACCGGUGGCGAAGGCGGCCAUCUGGACCGCAACUGACGCUGAGGCGCGAAAGCGUGGGGAGCAAACAGG
rnacentral:rRNA from 1 species